rnacentral:rRNA from 1 species
CCAAUAGCGUAUAUUAAAGUUGUUGCAGUUAAAAAGCUCGUAGUUGAAUUUCGGGAUCAAUAUAUCGGUCGUGCCUUCGGUACGUACUGGUAUCGUUGAUUUCUACCUUCUGACGAACCAUGAUGUCAUUAAUUUGGUUUCAUGGGAAAUCAGGACUGUUACUUUGAAAAAAUUAGAGUGUUUAAAGCAGGCCCACGCUUGAAUACAUUAGCAUGGAAUAAUGAAAUAGGACGUUUGACCCUAUUUUGUUGGUUUCUAGGAUCGACGUAAUGAUUAAUAGGGAUAGUUGGGGGCAUUAGUAUUCAAUUGUCAGAGGUGAAAUUCUUGGAUUUAUUGAAGACUAACUACUGCGAAAGCAUUUGCCAAGGAUGUUUUCAUUAAUCAAGAACGAAAGUUAGGGGAUCGAAGACGAUCAGAUACCGUCGUAGUCUUAACCAUAAACUAUGCCGACUAGGGAUCGGAUGAUGUUAAUUUUUUAAUGACUCAUUCGGCGCCUUACG